UACGUAGGGUGCGAGCGUUGUCCGGAAUUAUUGGGCGUAAAGAGCUCGUAGGCGGUCUGUCGCGUCGGAUGUGAAAACCCAGGGCUCAACCCUGGGCCUGCAUUCGAUACGGGCAGACUAGAGUUCGGUAGGGGAGACUGGAAUUCCUGGUGUAGCGGUGAAAUGCGCAGAUAUCAGGAGGAACACCGGUGGCGAAGGCGGGUCUCUGGGCCGAAACUGACGCUGAGGAGCGAAAGCGUGGGGAGCAAACAGG
rnacentral:rRNA from 1 species